UACGUAGGGUGCAAGCGUUAAUCGGAAUUACUGGGCGUAAAGCGUGCGCAGGCGGUUAUGCAAGACAGAUGUGAAAUCCCCGGGCUUAACCUGGGAACCGCAUUUGUGACUGCAUAGCUGGAGUACGGCAGAGGGGGAUGGAAUUCCGCGUGUAGCAGUGAAAUGCGUAGAUAUGCGGAGGAACACCAAUGGCGAAGGCAGCUCGCUGGAACGGAACUGACGCUGAGGCGCGAAAGCGUGGGGAGCGAACAGG
rnacentral:rRNA from 1 species